rnacentral:rRNA from 1 species
UAAGGAAUAUUGGUCAAUGGACGCAAGUCUGAACCAGCCAUGCCGCGUGGAGGAUUAAGGCCCUCUGGGUUGUAAACUCCUUUUAUCUGGGAAGAAAUGUACUUUUUCUUGAGUACUUGACGGUACCAGAGGAAUAAGCACCGGCUAACUCCGUGCCAGCAGCCGCGGUAAUACGGAGGGUGCAAGCGUUAUCCGGAUUCACUGGGUUUAAAGGGUGCGUAGGUGGGCAGGUAAGUCAGUGGUGAAAUCUCCGGGCUUAACCCGGAAACUGCCGUUGAUACUAUUUGUCUUGAAUAUUGUGGAGGUAAGCAGAAUAUGUCAUGUAGCGGUGAAAUGCUUAGAUAUGACAUAGAACACCAAUUGCGAAGGCAGCUUACUACACAAUCAUUGACGCUGAGGCACGUAAGCGUGGGGAUCAAACA